AUUGAACGCUGGCGGCAUGCCUUACACAUGCAAGUCGAACGGCAGCACGGGUGCUUGCACCUGGUGGCGAGUGGCGAGCGGGUGAGUAAUAUAUCGGAGCGUACCUUAUUGUGGGGGAUAACGCAGCGAAAGCUGUGCUAAUACCGCAUAAUCCCUAAGGGGGAAAGCGGGGGACCGUAAGGCCUCGCGCAAUUAGAGCGGCCGAUACCUGAUUAGCUAGUUGGUGAGGUAAAGGCUCACCAAGGCAACGAUCAGUAGCUGGUCUGAGAGGACGAUAGGCCACACUGGGACUGAGACACGGCCCAGACUCCUACGGGAGGCAGAAGUGGGGAAUUUUGGACAAUGGGGGCAACCCUGAUCCAGCAAUGCCGCGUGAGUGAAGAAGGCCUUCGGGUUGUAAAGCUCUUUUGUCAGGGAAGAAACAGCAGCUCUAACACAGUUUGUGAAUGACGGUACCUGAAGAAUAAGCACCGGCUAACUACGUGCCAGCCGCCGCAGUAA
rnacentral:rRNA from 1 species